rnacentral:rRNA from 1 species
CAGUCGCCACGGGAAUACGAAGGGGGCUAGCGUUGCUCGGAAUGACUGGGCGUAAAGGGCGCGUAGGCGGCGAUCAAAGUCAGGCGUGAAAUUCCUGGGCUCAACCUGGGGGCUGCGCUUGAUACUUGGUUGCUUGAGUGGGGAAGAGGGUCGUGGAAUUCCCAGUGUAGAGGUGAAAUUCGUAGAUAUUGGGAAGAACACCGGUGGCGAAGGCGGCGACCUGGUCCUUGACUGACGCUGAGGCGCGAAAGCGUGGGGAGCAAACAGGAUUAGAUACCCGUGUAGUCCCUGUCUCUUAUAC